AAAAUAUUGUUCUACUUGGACACAGGAUCUGAAUAGUCAGAAUCCUUGAAAACUACAGCUGCAACUAUGAAAAUGCAUGAGGAGUUUAGAGUCUUUGUGAGACUUCAUUCAUCUCCCUUUGACAACACAGCAAGUUGGUUCGUAAAAAAGCCAAGAUCCCACCCAAUUUUCCAGCCUGGUUAGAUUUUCCCCAGAAAGGAAAAGAUGCUUCUUUU
rnacentral:lncRNA from 1 species